rnacentral:rRNA from 1 species
UACGGAGUUACAAAGGACGACAUUAGACGAAUCAUCUGGAAAGAUGAAUCAAAGAAGGUAAUAAUCCUGUAGUCGAAAAUGUUGUCUCUCUUGAGUGGAUCCUGAGUACGACGGAGCACGUGAAAUUCCGUCGGAAUCUGGGAGGACCAUCUCCUAAGGCUAAAUACUCUCUAGUGACCGAUAGUGAACCAGUACCGUGAGGGAAAGGUGAAAAGCACCCCGGAAGGGGAGUGAAAUAGAACCUGAAACCGUGUGCUUACAAGUAGUCAGAGCCCGUUAAUGGGUGAUGGCGUGCCUUUUGUAGAAUGAACCGGCGAGUUACGAUUUGAUGCAAGGUUAAGCAGUAAAUGUGGAGCCGUAGCGAAAGCGAGUCUGAAUAGGGCGUUUAGUAUUUGGUCGUAGACCCGAAACCAGGUGAUCUACCCUUGGUCAGGUUGAAGUUCAGGUAACACUGAAUGGAGGACCGAACCGACUUACGUUGAAAAGUGAGCGGAUGAACUGAGGGUAGCGGAGAAAUUCCAAUCGAACCUGGAGAUAGCUGGUUCUCUCCGAAAUAGCUUUAGGGCUAGCCUCAAGUGAUGAUUAUUGGAGGUAGAGCACUGUUUGGACGAGGGGCCCCUCUCGGGUUACCGAAUUCAGACAAACUCCGAAUGCCAAUUAAUUUAACUUGGGAGUCAGAACAUGGGUGAUAAGGUCCGUGUUCGAAAGGGAAACAGCCCAGACCACCAGCUAAGGUCCCAAAAUAUAUGUUAAGUGGAAAAGGAUGUGGCGUUGCCCAGACAACUAGGAUGUUGGCUUAGAAGCAGCCAUCAUUUAAAGAGUGCGUAAUAGCUCACUAGUCGAGUGACACUGCGCCGAAAAUGUACCGGGGCUAAACAUAUUACCGAAGCUGUGGAUUGUCCUUUGGACAAUGGUAGGAGAGCGUUCUAAGGGCGUUGAAGCAUGAUCGUAAGGACAUGUGGAGCGCUUAGAAGUGAGAAUGCCGGUGUGAGUAGCGAAAGACGGGUGAGAAUCCCGUCCACCGAUUGACUAAGGUUUCCAGAGGAAGGCUCGUCCGCUCUGGGUUAGUCGGGUCCUAAGCUGAGGCCGACAGGCGUAGGCGAUGGAUAACAGGUUGAUAUUCCUGUACCACCUAUAAUCGUUUUAAUCGAUGGGGGGACGCAGUAGGAUAGGCGAAGCGUGCGAUUGGAUUGCACGUCUAAGCAGUAAGGCUGAGUAUUAGGCAAAUCCGGUACUCGUUAAGGCUGAGCUGUGAUGGGGAGAAGACAUUG